AAGUCCCGCAACGAGCGCAACCUCGACCUUAGUUGCCAGCAUUCAGUUGGCACUCUAAGGUGACUGCCGGCUAAAAGUCGGAGGAAGGUGGGAUGACGUCAAAUCAUCAUGCCCCUUAUGACCUGGGCUACACACGUGCUACAAUGGGCGGUACAAGGGUCGCGAACCCGCGAGGGGGAGCCAAUCCCAAAAAAGCCGCUCUCAGUUCGGAUUGCAGGCUGCAACUCGCCUGCAUGAAGCCGGAAUCGCUAGUAAUCGCGGAUCAGCAUGCCGCGGUGAAUACGUUCCCGGGCCUU
rnacentral:rRNA from 1 species